UAAACCGCUAAAAAUUGGGGUACAAGCUCACUAUCGGAAAUUACAAGGAGACGGAAUCUUCACCUCCAGAAAUCAGCAAAAACUACCCCAAAUGACCUUGAAAUUAGUCAAAAACCAGCCCCAAAUUCCCCAGGGGAAAUCAGUUUAAAAGACCUCAAAGCAGUCACCUCUGAAAAUCGGUCCAAAUCUUAGUCAAAAGGCGGUCAAAAAGCUGCAGAAGAUAGCCAUUAGAGCAAGCUCCAAAUUACUGUCUCCUCCAAUACGAUCUCCUCCAGUCAACAGCUCUUCUCGAUUGUCAGCGCCAUUACCGGCUCGCUCGCUCUCCGUAAGUUUUCUGGAGUAUUAUUUUACUUAUCAUUUUCAGUUCCUCUCUGUUUGCUCAAUUACUCAAAAUUCAUUUUCCUUUCAAAAACCCUAACAUCGAGUUUCUACUUAUUUACUAGUUCGCAUCGAGUUUCUACUUUGUACGUGUAAUUAGGGUAAUCUGCAGCUCUUCUUGAGUAUUAUUUUGUCAAACUCUUAACAUUUUUUGGUUUGGUAACUGUUGUUUUUAUAUUUUAUUUCUUACAGUAAUUAAAAUUUUUAACUCGUACUAUUUUUUUUCAGCUGCAUACAAUGUGGUUUCCCCUUUUAUAUGGUUUUUCAUAUCUAUCGUAUUCCUAUCGAUUACGAAAUUCAUGUUUAUUUUGUUUAUUAACUCGAUUAAUUGACUGUCCUUGGAAAAAAAUUGGGAACUAUUUUGAACAAUGGUCGUCAGCAUCUAGCUAGAAAGAGCAGACAUGUUUCAAUACUUGGGAAACUUAUUGGCGCGGAAAAGAAUGGGAGCUAAAGAUCUACUUUGCAGAAUCUGUUGAUUUCUGCUAUUUCAAGUGCAUUUUUCUGCUAUUGUAAUUAUUUUUGUUCGGGUCUGAAAAUAAUUUCCAGUACAAAAUUAUUGGUUGUGGAACUGUUGUUAUUUGAGUUGUUAUGUCCUUUUGGCUGCUGGAAAUGGUCGUAGCAUUAAUAGAUAAUUUGUGGUUUAGAUUUUAAUUAGAUAAAGGUGCAGGAUAAAAGUUUAAGCUUGGAACACUUUUAACUGCUACAUUUGCAACUUAAAGGGAAUUAAAAUUCCUUACUUGUAAUGAUAGCGACUUUCAAUUAUACUUUUACCAAUUAGAAUGAGAUUUAUGUUCUUAUAAUUAUGCCUAUUUUCAAUAUAUUUAUGCUGCUUGAUCAAAACGCAGAAUUCACUAGACCCCGCCUUGUAAGAAUUCAUUAGGUAUGUUGUUGUUGUUGAAAGAAGUAUUAUGAUUGUAGAUUGAGGCAAAAAUUGAAAUAUGAAUCUAAAAUCUAAAUGCUACUUGCUCCUUCCUUUGCUAUGCCACCUUGUCGUGUUAACGAAGCAGAUCCUUGAGUGUUUAGCUCGUUUAAAUUCUGGACAGGUUCAUCACUUAACUCGUCUUCCCUCAUCGUGUCUUCAUGUUGUUCUCUUGUGUGGUCAGACCCUCCUUUUGGUUGUUUUGUUGCCGACGACAUCAUGGAUAAAGUUUGUUUACCAGCUGUAGUUUUAGAAUCAGCAGUUUAAGCAGCUGGUUGAUGUCUCAACAUAGCCUGUAGCUUCUGACAUCUGCUUCUAAAAGGUAGUACUAGCAUCAGUACUUAUUUUAGUUGCGCUUUCUAAGGGAAAAUUUCCAUAGUACUUUGAUUAUCUUCAUCUGCGGAGUAGCCCUUUCAGCUUGUGUAACCAAAAUAUUCUAGGGAGUAGUGACCUCAAUCUGGCUGAACUGUUUAUGGAGGAUGAUGGUUGCAUCACAACAAAUUUGUUGGAUAGCUCUUGUUACACAUAAAUUCUUUCACAUUCAUAUUUUCUUUUUGCAUCUUGCUUUCCGUAUAUGCCAAUGAAUAAGAAGGGGGAUAUCCCAUCUUCUGGAUAUUAUCAUCAGUGGGUGAUAUCAUCAGUGCUAUUAUCAGUUGCAACCUCCAGCACUUAGUACCAUAUGUUCUUGCAAUUCAUGAUUCACAACUUUAGCAUUAAGAUCAGCUGGUUUUAUUAGUAGAAUCACCAACUGUAGCAGUAGGAUGAUCCAGCUUAUUAUAAGCUUGCACGACUGGCUUCUCAGCUGGGUUUUGCCGUAUUUUUGGGUUGGUUUCGGAAGGAGAAUUGUUGAAUUUUGCAGAAGCUUUGGGAAGGUGAUUUCUUUAGAUGUUUUGCUGCAUUUUUGGGCGAUAUUUGCAUCUGUUUUGCUGUGUUUUUUGGGCGAUAUUUGCAGCUGUUUUAGAUCUAGUUGUCCUGCCUUAGAAUGUAAUAUCUGUGUCAUUUUGUCCUUUGAAUAUUCUAACUGUUUCUGCUUUGCAUACUUCUUGGGUGAUUUAACUGUUUCUGCUUUGCACACUUCUUGUCCUCUGAAGUACUUUUUAAUGGCAUUUGAGAUGGGUACACUAUAAAGUUUAUGCCAUGAUUUUGGGUUCAAAUAUCAAACAUAAUUAGUUAUUUAAGCAGAACUUCCAUGGAAAAUCGAGUUAUAUGCCUUGGCAAUACUCUACUGGAUACUCUAAAGUCCCCCAUUCUUAACAAUUGUUUUGUCAUUGUUUAUAUGCCUUGGCAAUACUCUACUGGACACUCUAAAGUCCCCCAUUCUUAACAAUUGUUUUGUCAUUGUUCCCUCUUCUCCCGCAUCUCUUCAACAGUACUCGCUGCAAUCUCAAUUAUCAAUUUGAUUUAAUGAUUUCUGUUUAGGUGCAUAUUAUGUGUUUGUGAAAAUUCGUUUAUUUACUGAUUACAAAUGAUGUCUAUUUUAAAAUGGCCAUUGCAUGUGAGCCGAUGCUAUAUGUAUAUUUCCGUUUCUGCCUCCGAAAAUUUUCCAUUGGCUCUUUAAAAAGCUGCUUGAAUCAGAUAUGGAGAUGAUACAUUGCCUGUAGGAAUAACGUAGCUGCGGCAUCCAGUACAGGGCUGCUCGGUUAUCAAUCUUGCCAUCCUCUGGAGUUGAUACAUUGCCUGUAGGAAUUUACGUAGCUGCUAGAUAGAUCUAAAGGUGACUUCCCAGCUAAUAAGUCAAGUACAAGAGUAUUAAACCUCCAUUAAUGAGAGUAAUAGCGUACGUUUGAUACCUUAGUUUUAUUAAUACAUACAUGAAGCACAAUUUACUUUUGAAAAAUAAUGUCAGAAGUCUUAUUCCAUUAUUGUCAAAUAGAAAUGUGUACUGCAUUCCAUUAUCGUCUGAGAUGGGUUGUCUUAUUCCAUUAUUGUCAAAUAGAAUUGGUACUGCAUUCCAUUAUCGUCUGAGAUGGGUUCUUAAUAUGUCUCUAGGAGGUUCUUGGUUGUUUCCUAAUGAAACAUGUAAUCUUUACUAUCUUUCCUCUUCACUGAUCUGUUAAGUUGAGUUCUAAAUUACUUGUUAAGUUGAUUUAGUUAUUUGCCUCAUUUAUUUGGCGUGUGGUAGACGUGUCUUUUUGUACUUCUUGUGAAAUGUUUUUUGGAAUUUUGCAUUCUUGGGAGUCUUUUUAUGUGUUGAUGAUGCCUUAUCUCCGGAAUAUCUUUGUCCGUAUAUUAUGGGAAAACCAACAUUUUGCCAUCCAAUUUUGGGGUUUAAUGCAGAAUUUUAUACUUUCUUUUUACUCUUGAUUUUGUGGACCAAGUGAAUUUUAUAUAGGAUUCUCUUGAAGGGAUAAUGACUUUCUUUAUACUCUUUUAUAGGUGGAGUAGAAAUGGAAGACGGAGGCGGUGAUGAAGAUCUAGAUCUUACUUAAUAGAAUUUUGAAUUAUUGAUUGUUGUAGAUGCAUGUGGUAAUUUCUAGGAAUGUUUGUUAUCAAGACAUUUUAAAACUUUAACUCUUGAAAUAUCAAUUGUAUGUACUUGGUAACAUUUCAUCACUAUCUAUGGAUUUAUUAUCUUGUUGGACAAUUUGUAUUAUAAAUAGUUUCAUUUUGUUAUUUAUAUAAAUUUUAGUAUUUUAUAGUUUUAUAUAUAUAUAUAUAUAUAUAUAUAUAGAAACUAAAAAAUGGGGUCUUUAAAAGAUCCAAAGUUUCAACCAGAUAAAGAUUAGCUAUUGUAACAGUUAAAUUGAAUUGAGAAUAUUCCCC
rnacentral:lncRNA from 1 species